rnacentral:rRNA from 1 species
AUUGAACGCUGGCGGCAUGCUUUACACAUGCAAGUCGAACGGCAGCGCGGGCUUCGGCCUGGUGGCGUGUUGCGAACGGGUGGGUAAUUAAUCGGUACGUACCCUGUCUAGGGGGCUAGCACGGCUACAGGCGGCUUGAUCUCACAUCCGACCAUAUGUUGAACGCGGGGGUUCUUCAGACCUCGCGGUUUUUGCUCUGCCUAUUGGAUGUAACCGUGCUGGAUUAGCUAGUUGGUAAGGUAACGGCCUACCAAGGCGACGAUGCGUAGCCGACCUGAGAGGGCGACCAGCCACACUGGGACUGAGACACGGCCCAGACUCCUACGGGAGGCAGCAGUGGGGAAUCUUGGACAAUGGGCGAAAGCCUGAUCCAGCAACGCCGCGUGUGUGAUGAAGGCCUUCGGGUUGUAAAGCACUGUUGGCGGGGACGAAAAGAACUGUGACAAAACCAGGGCUCGAUGACGGUACCUGCAGAGAAAGCACCGGCUAACUACGUG